CUGUAAGGCGCCUGUGGUGAUCUUCACUAAGCAACAAUACAAUGGUUCCGCCAACAUGAAGCACUCUGUGACAAAAAAAAAAUGAGAUGAGUUCUUGCUAUGUUGUCCGGGCUAGUCUUGAAUUCCUGGCCUCAAGUGAUCCUUCCACCCCAGCAUCUUGAGUUGCUGAGACUACAGAUGAGAAAAUAAAGAGAGGUCCAGUUUUUCUGCUGAAGGCCAUACAGUGAAAAAACGAUGGUGGAGCUAGGAUUUAUACUUGGUGUGACUCUUAAAGUCGGUAAGUGUUCUUAAUUCCUAUAGUAAAAAGGCAUGAGAUCCCUUAAACAAGGGAUUCACAUAUCUCAACACUCUAAAUUGUAUUUAUAAUUAGAGCUCUUAAAAACCAAAUUAAUGAAGAAAAUAAACGCUUUUAUCUAGCCUGAAUGUUUACCUCUGAAGUAGGUGCAAUAAAGGGCUAAUUAUUAGUUAAAAUUGGCCCCUGUAUUAGCAAGACAUAUAGUUCCUCCUAGACUGAAACUUAAUACUAAGAGGUUGUGAUGAUGAAACAACCUAAAACAGAUGUUUUAUUCUUUCCUCCAGAAAGUUAUCCUAAAAACAACUCACAGAAGAAUCAUUUACAAAUGAUAUAAUAUGAAAAAGUUUAUCUCAGUAGUAAUGAAAGGUAAAUUUAAGCAAACCUAUCAAAUGUGUAGAGUUUAAAAAAUUGUAAUAAAAAUUAUAAUCUCCAGUAUCAACAGUGGAGAAGAGUGCACUUAUGUCCACUACCGGUUUGGUGUGACCUGUUUUAAGGUUUAUUCUCCUCCCUCUGCCUUCCCCUGCUCCUAGAAGUGCAUGCCCAACCACUCAUGCACUGGAUCCCAUCCUUUUUCAGGGGCCUGGAUAUAGCAGACAAGCAAUUCUCCUCCUUCCUCCGUCAUGCCAAAUUCCUCCUUUUCAUUUGAUCUUUCUCUUUAGUGAGAUCAAACAUUCUAUAUACAAAAAAAUUCUAACUUCUAUGUUCAAAAAAACCCCUGCUUGAUCCCCAAUAUCCUUUCUUUCAGUUACUGUCCCAUUUCUAUGCUCUCCUCAUUAGCCAAACUGCUCAAGAAAAUGCUCUAAACUAGUUGUUUUCAAGUUACCUCCUCCCAUUCUCUCAAGAGCCCCUCCAGGGAAGCUGCCCUUGACUUCUGCAGUCACCAGGCCUCAUUGUACUCCACCAAUGAGAAGCAGCUGACACAGCUGAUCUAUCUUUCUUCCCCGGAUUUUUACUCUCUUACAUCACCAGCUGUUCCUUUACCAGAUGCUCACCUUCCAGAAGUCCAAGCAUCUGAGUACUCCAAGGUUCAGUCCCCUUUCCCUUCUCUACUUACACUCAUUCCCUAGGAGAUCUCAUGAAACUAAAUGUUCUCUAUACUGGUGAUUCUCUAUACUGGUGAUCCCCUAAACUCCAGAUUUGUAUACUGAGGUACUAACUUGACAUCUUCACUUAGAGUCUAAUAAUCGUGCGAAAUUUAACAGGUCCUAAACUCUAACUUGAUCCACCAUCCGUCUUCCCCAUCUCAGUAACGACAACUCAAUCCUCUAGCUGCUCAAGCCAGAAAGCUUAGAAUGUUCUCUCUCUCAUAGUCCACAUCCAAUCUGACAACAAAUUCUGUUGGCUCUGUCUGCCAGAUGUAUAUCUGACCUUCUCUCGACAUCUCCUUGAAUACCACCUUGGGCCAGGCCACUGUCAUUUCUUACCUGGAUUAUAACUAGAGUUGCAACAGUCUCUUUCUAGUCUCUCUGUUACUGUCCUUCCCUCACUAAAGUCUAAGAGGAAUCCUUUCAAAACUAAGAUUUAUGCAGUUACCUGGUACCACAGAGAACCUUUAAAAAGCACACACACACAAACAGUGGAGCACUUCUGACUGUUUUUUAAAUGAAAUCUUUUAGAAAAUGCCCCCUAAAGUGAAAAUACAUAAAAGUGAAGCUGGGAGUGCAACAGAGGUCCAAUGGCCAACUCAGUACUCCCUCCUUCAUGCCUACAAGGUGCUUUGGAGAAUGUAAAGGGAUUGAAAACUCACUGCUCUGGAACAAUUUAGGAACCAAUUUCAGUUUUCUUAAAGGUUUCAAAGAAAUAGCAUUCUUAAAGAAAUUAGGGAUCAUGAAAGCUUGCAGUCUAGUCACCCCUUAGUUUGCUCUACAAACUUGUGUCUCCUGCACAGAGUCCUAUUAAAAACCUUGGCAGAAAGGCUUAAAAAUAAAAGUCACUGGCAGCAAACAACUAUGAGAUCUCAAUCAACAAGACAAUUUCUUCUUUGGGGAUGCUUUAUUAUGCUUUUAUGCAAGUUAUCCUAGUAUUUUCUUCUGUUGAUACUCAUCUUUACUACUUUUCCACUACAAUAAAAUUUCUUAAACGUAUUUUAUUCCUCCUGAUUAUAGGUCUGAUACUGGGACCUAUCUACUACCUAUCACUGUCAACAGAAUACAAUGUUCUUACCUGGGAAUUAAAUUCACUCAUUAUUUAAGGGAGAGACAUAUACUGGGGGAAUAAGAAAAAAACAAGGAAUAGUUUUUAAAAAUUGUCUAAACGCCAGGGAUCUCAGGAAAAUAUUAUUUUGAUUGGCCUCAAUAGACUUGAUUCCUAGUUAUGUGUGUCACUGCUGAUUCCCCUUCAUUAAACAGGGUACUGUUUUCCCUCUACCUCACAGGGUGGCCAACUGUCCUGGUUUACUCCAGACUUUGCUGAUUUUAGCACUAAAAGUCCUGGUUUAGCAAAUUGGGAUGGGUGGUUAGCUUACUCCUGUGUAUCUCACGGAUACUGUCUAAUGUGAGGCAAGACAGUAAGAUAAUUCAGAACAUUUCAUAUUAUUUAUUCAAAAGAAAUUCAAAGAAUUAUUAUUACACUGCUUUCUUUAUGGCUAUUUUAAACGAUCACUGGUUCUGAUACGAGAAAUGGUUCAGAUGCAACACUUUUUUUUUCUUUUUUUAACAAACACAUUUUAAGAAGUCAUGCUUUACAUGCUUACGAAAACUAUAGAAUUGUUGCUUCCCAAUUAUGAACACUUUGAAAAUAAAAAGGUUAGACUAUUAGAAGUAAACUGAGUAUUAGUCCCACAGAUAUAUUAAAGGGUAAAACCAACCUUUACAUAGUGAGACUUGUUUUAUAUUAUGAUUCUAAAUAUAUUUACAUUGUUCCUUUUCUCAAUUGUUUUGCAUUUUUAGUAUCUUACCUAUAACAGAGAUUUUAAGUAAUUCAAUUUUAUCCUCAAGGCCUGCAGCU